ACGUGGCCGAGGCCCGUUGGCGCAAGGCUCUGGCGCCCCUGGCGGGCCAGGUGGUGGUGACCUACCACUCGGAGUUCAACUACCUGCUGCGCGC
rnacentral:tRNA from 2 species